CAAAAACUGAUCAAAGUCGAGAAUUCGAGCUCUCUUUAAAUUCCUCACAGGCCGCUCAUCAGCUAAUGAAGCGCGUAACGCCGCCCAAUCAACGUUAUCACGCUUCUCCAUGUAUGCAUUAUGGCUCGGCUGUGAUGAAGACCCGGGUAUCUCAGCAAGUAAGAGCGCCGGCGUAAACGUAGGUAAGUGUUAUAUCCCGCAUUUUUGCGCAUUCAGAUAAUUUAAGAUAAUUGCGGAAGAUUAAGAACAAGACUAUAAUUUUGAUCUUGUUUGGUGUACAAGUUGUUUAUGAAAAUUUUGAAGUGGGAAUAUGAAGAAAGGUCAAGGGCAUAAAGGGAAAUUCGCAAUACGACUCGUGGAAAUAUGGAGGAAGACGAAGGGCAAAUUUGAAAUUUGAAAAAUAAUUUUUCAUAAAUUGUAGGACAAAAAAAAAAGGUGGGCUUGCAAUUAAAGAGGCCAUUUGGGCCAUUCAAAGGGGGUGGGCUUAGGCCCAAUUAGAAGCUUAAUGAAUAAGCUUAAAAGACGACUAAGCCAUCUUUAUUUCAUAACAUUUCCUAGAAAUUUCUAGAAUUUUAAAGAACAAAGAAGAAAGAAAGGGGAAGGGCCAUUUCGGCCAAGACCCCAAAAAUUCAUGCCAUGGAAAUUGAUCACAAAAAAAUAUUUUCUCCUAGCAAUCCCACCAAUUGGAAGACCCUCUACAACAUGGAAGAGUUGUUGGAACAAGAAAAUCAUCCAUUUGUACAAAUUCAUAAUCUUAACCAAGAGGAAAGUUGAAGGAAAAAAAGGUCAGAACAAAUCUUCUUUAUAUGUUAUGGAUGCUUGUGUAUAUUGUAGGAUGUGUAAAUGAAUGAGAAACAUGAAAACAUGAAUGUUGAAGUGUGGCCGUAUGAGUAUGGUGUUGGCUGAAUUUAGUUGCAUUUGUGGAGAAAUGAUGAAUUAAUUUUACUUAGUAUCAUGAUUGUUGUGGUAUGUUGAAGUGAAUGAAACUCAUGAAAAUAUGUAGUGUGCAUGUGUGGCCGUGUGAUGCUAGAAGAGUGAGCAAAUUUGAUCUUGUAUGUUGGUUGUUGUUGUAGUGAAAUCUAUGAUGGAAAAUGGAAGCUUAAUAAUUUUAGUUUAGGUGGUAAUUGUUGGAAACUUGUUCUAGAAGUUUAUGAAGAUUGAAUAUGAUGUUCUUGCAUGUAUGACAUAUAAGGUUGUUAGUAUGGUGUUGUUCGAAUAUAAAUUAUAAGGUUGUUAUUGUUUUUGUUGGAGUUGGAAGGUCUUGAAGGAAGUAGUAUGUUAAUUGAAAUUGUUAUUAUGAUUGUUGGCAUUGUUGUUGAUAAUUUGACCGGGUUGAAUUCCCGGAUUGUUGUUGAUUAAAUUGGCUAAGUUGAAGUUUUGGAGAUGGUGUAUUUAUAGGGUAAGUGCUGCCGAAAUUUCGGUAGACAAAUGUUACCUUAAGAUUCAACUUCUAGAUGCGCUAAUUAAGGUUUGGUAAAUAUGACCAAUUUGUAGAUUUUGGCGGAUUUGCAACUUGAAUUUGGAGUAGCAUAAGGAGUGGAAAAAGGUACACCCAGACGAGUGAAGCUAGCAUAGAAGACGUUCCAGCGGGGUCGGUAGACUCCACUUGUUCUGGAGUGCUGCCGAGUCAGAGUAUAUGAGCCAUGAUGUUUUGUUCGAUGUUAGAGACUUUGUAGAUAGAGUCGUGGGUAUAGAGUGUCAGCUUUGUAGACGGCUUCGCCAGUCAAUAUGUUAUUAUGUUCAUGUCACGGGUCCUAUAUGAUGAUAGACUUUACUUAUGAAAAAAAAUUGGAGAGCUUACUAUGUA